UCUGCCUAGUAGUGGGGGAUAACUUGCCGACAGGUAAGCUAAUACCGCAUACGUCCUACGGGAGAAAGGAGGGGACUCUUCGGAGCCUUUCGCUAUUAGAUGAGCCUAGGUCGGAUUAGUUAGUUGGUGAGGUAAUGGCUCACCAAGACCGCGAUCCGUAACUGGUCUGAGAGGAUGAUCAGUCACACUGGAACUGAGACACGGUCCAGACUCCUACGGGAGGCAGCAGUGGGGAAUAUUGGACAAUGGGGGGAACCCUGAUCCAGCCAUGCCGCGUGUGUGAAGAAGGUCUUAGGAUUGUAAAGCACUUUAAGUUGGGAGGAAGGGCAGUUAACUAAUAUUUGACUGUUUUGACGUUACCGACAGAAUAAGCACCGGCUAACUUCGUGCCAGCAGCCGCGGUAAUACGAAGGGUGCAAGCGUUAAUCGGAAUUACUGGGCGUAAAGCGCGCGUAGGUGGUUCGUUAAGUUAGGAGUGAAAGCCCCGGGCUCAACCUGGGAAUUGCUUCUAAAACUGGCGGGCUAGAGUAUGGUAGAGGGUGGUGGAAUUUCCUGUGUAGCGGUGAAAUGCGUAGAUAUAGGAAGGAACAUCAGUGGCGAAGGCGACCACCUGGACUGAUACUGACACUGAGGUGCGACAGCGUGGGGAGCAAACAGGAUUAGAUACCCUGGUAGUCCACGCCGUAAACGAUGUCCGCUA
rnacentral:rRNA from 1 species